rnacentral:lncRNA from 1 species
GAGUAGCCCUAGAGGCCUAACGCUUGAGGUCACCUUCAUGGUUUUUCCAGUGACCUUGGCCAUUAAUGAGCUCCCACCGCUUCCCCAGCUGCAGCUGUAUUAUAGCGCCAGAGUCUUCCAAGCCUGCAGGUUGUGCCAAGCCUGGAGGGAUUUGCAAAAGAAACAUUUGCCUACACCAAGAUCAUGAAGAUGUUUUCUUCUAGAGGAUUUCUAGUUUUAGCUCUUUAUGUUUAAAUUGAGGGAAACUAAAUGUAUGGCCUUAAGGAGCUGUUCCAGCCUGAGACUAUACACCAGCAGAAAGAAACUCACAGCACUGAAAAUAUUGUUCUCCGCCCUCCCUCAUCCCUCUUCCUUCUGAAUGGGAAAAAAGAGUAAGAAGCUUUUCCCUCCAGCUGAAAGCAAAGGAGUACUCUAGCCCUCUGUGAUAGCUGAUGGCAGCAUCUUUGGGUGGCUCUCCCAGAGAGGCUGCUCUCUUUGCUGGAAUUUGCCUUGUUCUCUCCUCACUGCUGAAGCACUGUCACUGCGUCCUAAAAAAACACCACAGUAUCCGUAAGACGUUGCCUGUCAUUGGAGGUUUGCUCCUUCUCUCUAUCUCAGACAGGAUUCAAUGAAGAAAACAGAAGCCACUGUAUGUACUCCAGGUGUUUAAAGUUUUAAUUUAGAGAAUUAAGGGUAUACUGAAAUAUUGCAAGACCUGGGGUAGUGGAGGUCAGGUAAGCUGACACCAAAGACCUCAUCCCAAAACACUCAAAGAGUGGUACAUGUCCCACACUUGUGGGCAGCAGCAAGCAUGAUUGUUCCCAAAUCUCAACUCCUUACAGAUCUGGCUGUAACUACCCCUGAAGAACAAAGACCUUUCCCCCACCUCUGUCCUAAUCUCAGGAGAGCUUCUCAUUUGCAAACUCUAACCAGGAAUCAGACAGGGACAGAGUUCAGGGAAGUAUUCCUGGCUUUGCUUCCCUCUGCAGAAGGGACUUUGGCUUUGAGGGAGGUCCUGGGGUUGGUGGUAAUGCCAAGUUGACCUUGGACAAUCCAGCACUCUCUAAGGAUGGCUCCAGCCCCUCGAGGGGAGUCAGCACCCUCUGAAUAGCAUUUUCAGGCCUCUCCCAGGAAGCUGGGGCUUGGAGUGGGAGUGUCCCCCCAGGAGAGUGGCAGAGGCAGGAUGAUUCAGGGUCAGCCCAAACCUUACAGAUAUUCCCCGAGGUGGCCAACGCAACCAUGAGCAAGAGCCGAGGCCUUAGCCAACAAGACAAUGGAGGGCAGCUCAUAUGAAGGGCAAAGCAAAGGCCAAAGUGAGAGAAGUAAGCGCUGUGACAUGGAGACCAGCUCAGGAUAGGAUAGAUGGCUCAGGAACCAGGCUGUUAAGGAGAGAAUACUCAGCAUUUCUGAGAACACGGCAGUUCGAGGACCCGUGCUGGUCUGGGCCCGCUCCCCCAGCCCCUGAUGGGGGCCUGUGUGCUCUGCAAAGAGCUGUGCCCUGUGAUGGGGGGUCUGUGACCUGGGAGGGAAUACACUCAAUCUCACAUGGGUUGUGGAAGCCUGUGCUCCCCCCACAGCCAGGGAAGAUCAUGAGCUGCUUUGUGAGUGUGAGACAUUACAGAUACAACAGCCAAUUGACUCAAACAAAACUAUUGCAGGAAAGAAAAGGCUUUCUGAAUUAUGGAGUGCUGUGGGCUGAGUUGUGGACCCCCAAAAUUUAUAUGUUGAAGUCCUACCCCUAGUGCCUCAGAAUGUUCCUUUAUUUGGAGAUAGGGUCUGAUAGAGUUUAGUUAUUUGUCCCCCCAAAUCUCAUGUUGAAAUGUAGUCCCCAGUGUGGAAGGUGGGGCCUGGUGGGAGGUGAGUGGCUCGUGGAGGAGGAUUUCUCAUGAUUGGUUCAGCCCCAUCCUCAUGGUGCAGUCCUCAUGACGGUGAGUGAGUUCUCGUGAGAUCGGGUGGGUUGAAAGUGUGUGGCCCCUCCUUCUCCUUCUCUUGCACCUGCUUUGGCCAUGAGAUCUGCCUGCUCCACUUGCCUUCCGCCCUGAGUAAAAGCUCCCUGAGGCCUCCCCAGAAGCUGAGUAGAUGCCAUAGCCAUGCUUCCUGUACAGCCCACAGAACCGUGAGCCAGUUAAACCUCUUUCCUUGAUAAGUUACCUACCCUCAGGUAUUUCUUUAUAGCAGCGCAAGAACAGACUCAUACAGGAUCACUGCAUGUGGAAUCAGGUAAGACAAGGUCAUACUGGAGUAGGAAAGGGGUUAAUCCAAUAUGACUGGUGUCCUUAAAAAAUGGGAAAUUCAUCGAGGGCAGAUUGGAUAAAGGAAAUGUUGUACAUAUACACUAUGGAAUACUUCACAGCUAUAAAAAAGGAGAAGAUUAUGUCCUUUGCAGGUACAGGAAUGGAGCUAGAGGUCAUCAUCCUUAGCAAACUAAUGCAGGAACAGAAAACCAAAUGCCACAUGUUCUCACUUAUAAGUUGAAGGUAAAUAAUGAGAACACGUGGACACAUAGAGGGGAAUAGCACACACUGGGGCCUACUUGAGGGUAGAAGGUGGGAGGAAGGAGAGGAUCAGAAAAAACGAUUGGUUACUAGGCUUACUACCUGGUUGAUGAAAUAAUCUGUACAGCAAACCCCAGUAUCAAGAGUUUACCUAUAUAACAAAACUGCACAUGUACCCCUGAACCUAAAAUAAAAGCUUUUUAUAAAAAGAAAAGAAAAAGGGCUGGGCAUGAUGGCUCACACCUGUAAUCCCAGGACUUUAGGACACCCAGGUGGGUGGACUGCUAAGCUCAGGAGUUCAAGACCAGCCUAGGCAACAUUGCGAAACCCCGUCUCUACAAAAAUUAGCCAGGCAUGGUGGCAUGUACCUGAAGUCCCAUCUACUUGCAGGGCUGAGGCCAGAGGAUCGCUUGAACCCAGGAGGUGGAGAUUGUAGUGAGUUGUAUUUGUGCCACUGCACUCCAGCCUCGUUGACAGAGCAAGGGCAAGACCUUUUCUUUAAAAAAAAAAAAAGAAAGAAAGAAAAGAAAAAGAAAAGACAAGAAAAGAAAAGAAAAGGAUAUAAUCAGCCAAAUUCAAAAUGUGUGAAAUGCUACAAGGUAAGUGAACUAAUUUUUUCCAAUAAAUAAAUGAUAAGAAAAAAGAGAGAAGAGGAAACUACUAUAGAUUUUAAGAAAUUUAAGACAUAUCAACCAAACACAAUGUGUACAUAGACCUUGUUGAGAUCCUGAACAAAUUGACUUUUGGGGAAAUGUGAACACUGAGUAGCUAUCUGGUAAUACUGGGUUUUUUGGUUUUGGUUUUGUUUUUUGAGACAGAGUCUCACUCUGUCACUCAGGCUGGAGUGCAGUGGUGUGAUCUCGGCUCACUGCAACCUCUGCCUCCUGGGUUCAAGUGAUUCUCCUGCUUCAGCCUCCUGUGUUGCUGGGAAUAUAGGUGCACGCCACCAUGCCUGGCUAAUUUUUGUACUUUUAGUAGAGACAGGGUCUCGCUAUAUUGGCCAGGCUGGUCCCUAAUUCCUGACCUCAAGUGAUCUACCCACCUCAGCCUCCCAAAGUGCUGGGAUUACAGGUGUCAGCCACCAUGACUGGCCAGGUGAUACUGUUUUGUUCAGUUAAUAGUGAGAUAAUUGUAUCAAAAUUAUGUAUUUAAGAGUUCUUGGCUGGGUGUGGUGGCUCACGUCUGUAAUCCCAGCACUUUGUGGGAGGCCAAGGCAGGUGGAUCACUUGAGAUCAGGAGUUCAAGACCAGCCUGGCCAACAUGGCAAAACCCUGUCUCUACUAAACACACACACAAUUAGCUGGGCAUGGUGGCAUGCACCUGUUAGCCCAGCUACUCAGGAGGUUGAGGCAUGAGAAUUGCUUGAACCCAGGUAGUGGAGGUUGCAGUGAGCCAAGAUAGCACCACUGCACUACAGCCUGGGCGACAGACUGAGACUCUGUGUCAAAAAAAAAAAAAAAAAAAGUUAUCAUUUAGAAGACAUGUGACUGACAUGUAUGUAAAUAAAAUGAUAAGGAGAAUUUGCUUUAAAAUAUUUCCAUAGAGAUAGGUGCAGGGAGGAGGAACAAAUGAGAUAAGAUUGGCCAUUUGUUGGUCAUUGUCGACACUAUGUAAUGGGUACAUGGGGGUUCAUUAUACUAUUCUAUUUUUGUGUAUGUUCAAAAUUUUCUACUAUUAAAAGUUUUUUUAAUUUUAAAAUAAAAAAUAAGUAAAAAUGGGAAAUUUAGAGGUAGACACUCAUGCAGGAAAAGUGCCAGGUGAAGAUGAAGGCAGGGAUCGUAGUGAAGCUUCUACAAGCCGAGGAUCACCAGCAAACCACCAGAAGCCAAGGGAGAGGCCAGGAACAGACUCUCCCCACAGCCCUCAGAAGGGUCCAACCCUGCUGACACCUUGAUCUUGGACUUCCAGCUUCCAGGACUGUGAAACAAGACAUUUCUUUGGUUCAAGCCACUCCCUUAGUGCACAUUGUUAUGGCAGCCAUGGAAAACCAUCCACAGAGGGUCAGUUCCUAUGGAGGUGGGGACGUUCUGUAUCUGUGAUGAAUGACCCCUGCAUACAUUAUAUCUUUCAGUAAAAACAGUGGUGUUUCAGUAGUGUUACUAGCUAAGCUGCUUAACUCUCACAUUACAGACGUCAGUGAAGCCCCUUGGUAGGUAGUGUCUAAAAUUAGAUUUAUCUGCUUAUUUACACAAUUAUACUCUCAUGAGUUUGAAUGUUGGGGAAAGAUCAAGAAAAAGACCAGAUCACUAGAUGGCAAUAGCACACAAGAGCUUUAUUUGGAUGAAGCUUGGACAGAAUGCAUGGAAGGGGAAAGUCCCUUGCAGCAGAAGACCUUCCAGAGGCAGUGGCAGGGCCACCACCAGAAGAAAAGGGCAAGGACACUCCCAGGGGAGAGGAGGAUCAGAGAGGAGGUUACAGGUCUAAGAGAUGUCACAGGUCUAGAAGAAAAGAAAAGGAGCCAGGUGCAGUGGCUCACACCUGUAAUCCCAGCACUUUGGGAGGCCCAGGCGGGCAGAUUGCUGAGUUCAGGAGUUUGAGACCAGCCUAGGCAAACAUGGUGAAACCCCAUCUCUAAAAAAAGAUUUAAAAAUUAACCAGGCCUGGUGGCAUGUACCUGAAGUCUCAUUUACUUGGGGGGCUAAGGCUGGAGGAUCGUUUGAACCCAAGAGGGUUCAUGGUGGGGAGCAUCAUGGUGAGGAGUCUCUGGGUCAGAGAGCUCCAAAGGACAGCAGCCAUUUGGGGUCUUUUGUAGCCCUGAGGUUCGUCUUACCUAUGGUGAGAGGGUGUCGGGUGUAGUUUUGCAAAUUAUCGAAGCAGGCAGGCUCUAAAUGGGCAAAUAAUAUUUGGCCUACAUUUAAAGCAAUUGGAUGUGCAAGAAUUUGAGUUUGGUGCUGGCAGGCUUGAGUUAACGGUCCUGGGCUGUGGUGUGGAAGUAAACAGCAUGGGGGCCAAUACACAGGGGCUGUCUUGAACUCGUUCAUACAAUCCAUUUAUAACCUGUUUAUAACUUGUUUAUAACCCAUUUAUACCACAUACCCCUAAAGCAAAUACCUAGCAGAUAGCAUGCAGGGCCUAUUUGCCUGGCCUCCUUCAAUGGCAUCACAUUCUCCACCACCACGAUGGUUAAUAUGGACGAGCCCUAGCAGCUGCCCAGUGAAGUCCACACGCUACUGCCCAAACCAGCUCAAGUCCUUAGUUGUCAUGAAAAUAAUGUGAGUUCCCACAGCCGUAAAAGGGAAAGCAGCAAGAGCCACAUGAGCAUCCCCGGAACCCUGGGAACAGUCAUCAGUGUCAUCUUCAGGGUCAUGUCCCUACAAGCAGUUCUCAGGCUCCUGCUGAGGGUCAGAACAGAGCCGAAGUCACAGGAUAUCAAAAAUGGAUAAGCCCAACCUCAGCUCGCAGAGGAAUUGCUCAGCUGACAGAUGAUUGUGUUAUCUCAGUGAAGCCAGAUGACAAUGUACUUGGCCAACGGAACAUCUUGGUCAAUGGAUCUCCAAGUUGGUUAUAAAAUUAAAGCAAAAUAAUGCCAUUAUAUGUAAGAUGUCAUUGAUUGUAAGAUGCUCCUUUAUUUGAUGUACCACUAAUAAAUAAAAACACUGACAUUUAAACAAUGACAAUUGCAUAACACAUCUGCUUGUUCAAUGUUAAAUAUGAAAAAAUGUGC